AACGCACAUUGCGCCCGCCAGUACUCUGACGGGCAUGCCCGUCCGAGCGUCAUUUCUAACCCUCGAGCCCUCGCGGCUCGGCGUUGGGGCGCGCGGGCCCCCGCUGCUAUGCAGCAGGCCCGCGGCUCCGAAGACCAGCGGCGGCCGCCGAAGGGAUGCCCCCUGCGCAGUACACAAACCUCGCACCGGGAACCCGCGGCGUGCCGGCCCGGCUCCAGCGGAGCUGACCGCAGCGUCCCCUAGCGGACCUAAAAGGUUGACCUCGGAUCGGGUAGGAAUACCCGCUGAACUUAA
rnacentral:misc_RNA from 1 species